GUUAGAAGAGUAUGGUGAAUACAAUGUCAAGCUUUUAUAUGUUGUUUUUCAUAAUACGUAACGCACCUAACAGCAAUUGCUUCUAGGGCUAAUUAAAUUUUAUGUACUUCUGAAAGCUAUGAAAUCAUACUUACACAACGAUAUAUAAAACAUGAUUCUCUGAUAGAUUCAUCAAUAUCAAAGACUGAUUGGCCCGUUUCAUUUCUUGCUCUGUGGUCCACUCUUUCAUCCCAUAUCAAGCACCGCAGAAUCCGAGUUUGUCUUUCAAUAGCAGCCAAAUGCAAAGGUGUGUUCCCGCCAUUAUCUGCUUGAUUUAUGAGCCAUUGUAACUCUGCUAUUUCCACCACACAUCUGACCACAUUCACUUUUGCACUAAGAACGGCAAAAUGAAGAACACUCCUACCGUUCAGGUCCAGAAGCUCUCCAGAAUCUGGGCAGUAGUGGAUAAUUCUUUCUAUUACAUCAGCAUGACCAUUCCUGGCUGCAACAUGAAGGGGUGAAUGGCCAUUUUUAUCCAAUACAUAUGCAAUACACUCGUCAAAUUCCAGCAAUCUUUCAACAGCCCUGCGGUCUCCAAGGGAUGCAGCAUGAUGGAGUGCGGUCCUGCCAUGAUGGUCAGCUUCUGUGAUGAGGUGUGGUUUUGCUCUCAGAAGGAUCUCCAUGAUAUCUGACAUCACAUAGAAAACGAGUUAUGAUCUUAAAAUAAUUCAAGAGCUUGAAUUCUACUUAGUACGAGUCAUUUCAAGUUUAAAAGAUGAGGAUGUGAGCUUAAAAGAUUGAAUUGACAGUCAUUUAAUGUGGAGAAGUAAAAAGAAAGGAUUGUCCAAGCACAGGACACUACCUGAAUGUCUCUCUAUCACAGCAGCAUGCAAAGCAGUUUGGCCCUCUGAUCCCCCAUGAGCUGAAGCUGGAGUUGAUAUCAGAAUCUGAUUCAAAAUAUCCUUCUUCCCUUCUCUAGCAGCAAGAAACAACGGAGACUCGCCAGCAUAAUUUUCAAAACAGGCCAACUUAGUAUCAACCCUUAGCAACAACUUUACGACACUCAUAUUACCGUUCCUAACAGCCUCGUGUAAAACUGUAUUAUUCUCGUUGUUUCCCUGCCUCAGUAUGUCAAACUUGCCAGUUUUUCCAUUUUCAGUGCUUAUCCUUUUUGCAGACAGAUUUUCUUUCACCAGAAAAUCAACAAUAGAGAAGUGUCCACACCUUGCAGCAACAUGUAGAGGACUGUCUCCACUCGAAUUCGGCCUUGUAAGCAGAGACCUGCAUCGAUUAUAGAUUUCAACGACAACUCCUUUAUGUCCAAAUUGCACAGCAAUAUGGAGAGGUGUAUUCCCUUGUGGAGUAAGUUUAGUAAGUAGCCUUGGCUUUUCAUUGAGAAGUUGAAGGAGAAUAUAAACAUUUCCUGAUUUUACAACUCUGUAUAGCCUUGAAUCCAUGAAAUCCUACUGGCAAACAACUCUCACAACUCUAUCUGGGCAUUGUAUUCUAACGACGAUGUGGUUUCAGGCUUGCAUGUGAACAUCUUGACCAAGAACAUAUAGGCAAAUCAAAAUUCCGACUGACUUUGAGGUAUGUUGUCCAUUAUUAGUCAAGAGAUUUACUGUUAAUGGGUCAUUGAAAGCUAUCGAAGUUGCAGUAUUUUACGGCACUCCAUAUAAGUUGGUAUCAAAUCAACAUUGACUAGAUCAAAUGUCUACCCACCAAAUAUGACAUUUGAUGUUUGAAUGAAAAGUUAAUUAAUUUAUGACUUGUGACCAUUUCAAAGAUAUAGUAGAUAGUUGUAAAUCUUCAUCAAAUGUGACAUUUAUAUUGAUGGAAACUGGACAGGGAGGAGAACUAGCCAGAGACGAAUUUAGAAGACGAAAAAACCAAAUUUCUUUCUUUUCUUUCUCCAAAGUAAGAAUAAGCCCUUUCAUUGGUGUUUUUCUGAAUUUUUUUUAUAUUUGUUUACCAUUAAAAAAGUCAAUUAACAAAAAAAAAUAUUUUUGAUUCAAAAGAAAAUCUUGCUUGGUUAAGAGGAAAGUAUUUUUUUAAUUUUAAUUAAAAAUAUUUUCUAGAAGUUGUGAAAAAUUCAAAAUUAUAUUGUUAUUUGUUGAUUAUAUCAAACUUGACCCUCAAUCUUUUGAUUACUAUAUAUUUUAUUUUGAUUUUUUUUUCAAUUUCAUCCCUUAAAAUUUGAUUUUAUAUCAAUUUUGGUCUUCAUUUUUUUUAUUGUUAUUUGCUUUUUUCUUAUCCUUUUCUUAAUUAAAAUUCUUUAUCUAUUAGAUUUAGCCCCUAUUCUUUUGAUUGUUAUUUAUUUAUUUAAAAUAAUUUAUUAAAUUGUAUUUUUUUAAUUCCAUCAUAUUUUAAUUUUUUUAUCUGUCAGAUUUUGUCUCUAUUAUUUUGAUUAUUAUUUAUUUAUUUAAAAUAAUUUAUGAAAUUAAAUUGUUUUUUUCAAUCUCAUUUUCCUUCAAUUUUUUUUAUUUGUUAGAUUUGAUUCUUAUUCUUUUAAUAAACUUGAAAAAAAAAACAUUAGUAAGUUAUUUUUCCUAACAUAACCAAACACUAAAAAAUGUUUUUUAACUCAUUUUUUAUUACACUAUCAAACAUAACAAAUAUAAUUCACUUUUCAAAAAAUUAUUUUUCAUAAAAAAAUAUUUUAUUUUAAAAAAACAUUUUCUAGCAAACAAACAGUUGAAGUUCUUAAAAUCAGUUGCAGAGAAAAUGGAACUGUCCAUACGUUUUUGGUCUCACAACUGUUGAAAGAAAUCAUAAUGUAUUAACUAAAUAACAGAGAACUGAAAAUUACAAUUCUAAGAUGGACAAUUAGCAUAUUUUUUGUUCAUAUUUAAAAUAUUUUAUGAUGUUAUGUAUGUUUAAAGAUAAAAAAACCUAUUAAAAAUUACCAAUAAUUUAAAAAUGUGAUAACAGUUUACUUUUCAAAAUAUUUUUUAUUUAAAAUUCCAUUAAAGUUAUAUAUAUUUUUUAUUUUUAAAAAAAUAUUUUUUACAAUAACAUAUUAAAAUUAUCUGAAAAUAUCAAAAAUAUUAAUUUAAAAUAAAAAAAAAUCAAAAUUUUUGAAUGCCCAGGCAUGGUGUACAUAAAAAUAGGGUUGUGAAGACACUCAAUUUAGAGAAUUUAGGAACUUCCAAACAGAAUAGAUGUUUUGGAAUGGCUAAGUUAGGUCUUCAAACAAGCUGCUGAGGCUCGGGUUUAGUUGUGUUUUUAAAAUUAUGAUAGUAAUUAUGAUUUAAAAUAUUUUUUAUUUAGAAAUAUAUUAAAAUAAAUUUUUUUUUAUUUUUAAAAAAUUAUUUUUGAUAUUAAUGAAAUAAUAUGAAAAUAUAAAAAAAAUUAUUUUAAAUAAACAAUUUAAAAUUAAAAAAAACAUAAUUUACAUUAUAUUUUCAAACACACCAUAAACACUUUAGAGAAUAAAAAGACUCAUCAUCGUAGUUUAUGGAUUUUACAAGCUCGAUUUAAGAUAGAAAUUGUCCUCCGAAUCCAGUUCAUUGUUAGCUCUUAUUACUAAGAUAAUGGAUGCUGCAUUAAACUCUCUGAGUGCUCUUAAGGCGAGCAAACUAAUAGAAAAUCAAUAAAUCAGUGGACUAGCACUACAUCGUUAGGAUGAAUUAUUAUUAUUAUUAUUAUAAGAAAUAAUGUUUAACCUUCAUGAGAUUGUUUGAAAGUACUUCAUUGUGUUAAAUAAGUUGAUUUUAUUUUAAUUAAAUUAUAAAAAUAUAAUUAAUGACAACAAAUAAACCAAAUAAAAAAAUAAUGAUAACUUGAAAAAAAGAUUUUUUUAAAAAACUUAAUGUAACUCAAUUCUUAGCCAAUUAAAUAUGAAAUGAUGAAAUUUAAAGAAAAAGAAAAGAAAAACCCGAGUCAACCCAAGUUAGUAUGAUAAACCUGUAACCCAAGUAAUAAGGGUGGGAUAACCAUGUCAUAACCCAAAUUUAGAUCCCAAAAAUGAUUUGCAUAUUUUUUUAUAUUCAAAAAUCCAAAAAAAUAAAAAAUUUCAAAUUCAAAAAUAUUUUCGGUAUACGAGGAGAUAAGCCUUCGAGCUGCAAAAAAUUAAAAUACCAAAAGAAUAGCAAGAUUAAAGUCCGUUGAUAAGAUGAGCUAAAAAAAGACUUCAUUUGAAAUAAAAUUUAAAAUUAAAAUCUAAGUUGAACAAAAUUAGAAGAAUUAAUUAAUUAAAUUUAAGAAUUUAAUUAAACUUUUAAUAAGUUUAAUUGAUUUAAUUAAAGAUUCCAUUGAAGUAAAAUUAAAUCUAAAAUCAAUUUUGUCAAAACUGAAUUAAUUAACUUCUAAUGGGUUUGGCUCACUAUACUCAACCACAGAAGACAUUAGGCUUGGCCAGGAAGAAAUCUGAGGACUCUUGGCUGCUGGUUAAAUGCAUGUGUAAGAGGGAGUGAUGAAUGAAUGGGGUUGUUGAUGAGAAAUGAGAAUCAUGAGAUUGAUGAAUGGAUGUUGUCAACAAAGUUAAUGACCCAUGAUGUUUGUGAUAAACUGAAACUUUCCACUUUUAUAUAGACAAAGUUUAAAAAAAUCUUAAGUAGCUUAAGAAUAAUAUUUUCAAAUUAAAUAAUUGGUUAUAACAAUCUUAUAUAUAUUCUCUAGUAAAAGAAAUUGAUAGCUUGAAUUUGGUGUUUGGUAGGCGAAGACAGCUUGUAAGCACCUGUACUUAAAAGAUCAUUUAUGAUAGAUGUGGAAACUCUUAUAUACUUAAAUAAAUUUUUUUAGAGAGAGAAAAUAUAAUAAUAUUAUAGAGAGAGAUACUCUCAAAUGUGUAUGGAGUAGAGAAUGAAGAUUGUGAACCUUUAUUUUAAAGGAUUCAUUGCGUAUUUAUAAUUUAAGAGUUUGGUCAUUUUGUGAAGAGGAGUGGCUGAAGUGUAACUCCACCUUUAUAAUAUUUUGAGUUGUAUUCCACUCAUUUUAUCCAGCAAAAAAAAUAAAGACAUGGUAGACCAUGAGAGACUUUCAUACACCUGAUGGUGUUGAUAGAGUAUAUACUUGUUUAAUUAAGCUUAUUUGUUGAGAAAUAAAUCCUCUAAAAUUUUAUAUAAAAAUCUAUAGAGUUAAUAGCAUUAGAUACAUGUAUUAUAUUUGAAUCCAAGGGUGCAGCGAACCCGACCAUACCCAGGGUGCGAUGAAAAAAAUCUUUGGGUUCGACACCCUCGGAUAAUGCACGACAGGCCCACCCCGCUGGCUUAGCUAGAUCUAGCGCAUCUUGGGAAAGCUAUUGGGCUUGCACGUGUCAAACCCAGAUGAUACCUGAGUUUAGCAUGCACUAGUCCUAAGUGUGUUUGGGUCUGGAGUACUACCAGACCCAUCCAUACCCAAAACCAACAACACACAACACCUGGAUUUAUUUAGCGCCAAACCUAGCAUGCUUUUACAUGGACUUGUUUUCCUGAUUCCGUAUUUUUUUUAAAAAAAUAUAUAAAAAUAUAUCGAUAAAAUCUUGUUUCAUAUUUCCACCCUUUAGCCAUGCUAACUCCUUUGUCACAUUAAUCUUAGCAGCUCCUUGCCUGUAUAUGUGAACCAACUUACAACUUGAUAGGGAUUAAGGACCGGUCAGAAACAGGGUUAAUGUUUAGAUUUUUUUUUCUUUGCAGUUGGUAUGACUAAAGCUUAUUGGUUUACUUUCUUUGAAUCAUCAAAGAAAGUAAAGGCAAUAUAUUAGUUAUGUUUGAGAUUGUGAUCUAAUUAUAUUUCUAAAAAAAUUUAAAAUUUUAUUUUAUUUUAUUUUAUUUAGUUUUAGAUUGUUUUUUAUAUUUUUAUAUUUUUUUAUUUGUUAAUAUAAAACAAAAUUAAAAAUAAAUAAAAAAUAUUAUUUUAAUAUAUUUUCAAAUAAAAAAUAUUUUUUUAAAAAAUCUUUAUUACACACCCUGCAUAAAGGAAGGACACUCGAAACAUCCAGGCUAUAAAAGAAGUCACUUACUACGUACGAAAUUAGCACCUUGAAUUAAUGGGUGUACCCUUUUCUUCAAAUUGUUCUGGAAGCACUCUCGUAACUUAAAAUUUUGAAGCAUAUCAUGAAUACGAAAAAAGAACUCCAAAUAUCAUUUGAAGCAGUUUUAGUUUGACAGGAUUGGAAACUUCAUGUACUACCACAGCAUCAGUAUCUACUUACUAGAUAAAUUUACUGUUUUUACUGCAAAGAAUCAAGAAACUUACUACAAAAUUACCUGAUUUUGGAUUUGUUUGCUUGUUUUCCAAUGCAUCCAACUUGGUUUCAUCAGAAGCAUGAGUAUAUUUUGAUGUGAAUUCAAUGGAAUUAAUCGGACAAUGGAUAGCAGUAAUCACGUUUUGUAAUUUGUUUAUACAUUUUCUAUCUAUGGAAUUUGAUUCCAAAGGCUCAUCAAACGCACAAACCAAAUGCUUUGGAUACCUUAACAGAAGCUGUCCAAAAACGUUGUCAUAACAUUUUGAAGCAGAAGGCAGAAGACUUCCUUGGUGAUCUCAUUUCUUGAUUCUGGACUUCAUCUUCCAGAAAUAAAAAAUCAAGAACUGGCAGAUUUCAGAAACAAGAAAAAUCCGCACCAACUGGAGCAGAAACAAGAAGUCACUAACAUUGAAAGCAAUCCCCACAAUAUAAAUUACACUGUCAACAAAGGGUUGAUCAGGCAAAACAGCAACAAUUCCUGAUAGGAAUGCAAUCGCUGCUGAUUGUAGCGCUAUACAAGUUAGCACGGUCGCACUUGCCAGGUAGUAAACAUAGGACUCAUCGUUACUAACACCUACCCAAAAUAUUAUGCAUGCUGCAAUCAUGGAGCUGGUCAUGGCAAUCGCGUCCGAGAAAACGAACCAUCUCAGAUGAUUGCUUGACUCCAGUAAUGCUACGCCUAGCUUGGAGCCAAAAUCAUUGUUAAAGCCUCCAGGAAGUGUGAAAGCUGCUGCAAACGUUACUGUUGCGAUUAGUGUUGCUACCAUUAAGAGGGUAUUUCCCAUUCGCUUGUAAGUUUGAAUCCUGGCAAUAGCUUCUUGGUCUGUACAUGGGGGAUUCUUUUUCCCGAUGAUUCCAUUAGAUACAGGGAUAAGUUUCCUCCAUACGCAUUCGAUUAUAUUCUGCAGUGUUAGAAGAAUAUGGUGAAUACAAUGUCAAGCUUUUAUUUGUUGUUUUUCAGAAUAAAUAAUGCACGUAGCAGCAAUUGCUUUUAGGGCUAAUUAGAUUUUAUGUACUUCUGAAAGCUAUGAAAUCAUACUUACACAACGAUAUAUAAAGCAUGAUUCUCUGAUAGAUCCAUCAAUAUCAAAGACUGAUUGGCCAGUUUCAUUUCUGGCUCUGUGGUCCACUCUUUCAUCCCAUAUCAAGCACCUCAGAAUCCGAGUUUGUCUUUCAAUAGCAGCCAAAUGCAAAGGUGUGUUCCCGCCAUUAUCUGCUUGAUUUAUGAGCCAUUGUAACUCUGCUAUUUCCACCACACAUCUGACCACAUUCACUUUUCCACUAAGAACGGCAAAAUGAAGAACACUCCUCCCGUUCAGGUCCAGAAGCUCUCCAGAAUCUGGGCAGUAGUGGAUAAUUCUUUCU
rnacentral:lncRNA from 1 species